rnacentral:lncRNA from 1 species
GGCUGCUACAGCUGGGAGGAAGAAGAAGAAAAGGGGUUUUAAACCCUCUUUACCAUUUUGCCCCUCAACUAUGCACUAUUCACUUCGGGCAGUUUAUUUUUCGCCGGAGCCCUUCUGAAUGUCCGUUUGAACUCAAAUUUGACAGGCAUGCUCGGUUUAACGUACUGAGCAAUAAUAUAUCUUAAGUUUUCAGUUUCGACUCCGUUUAGUCACCGAAAACUGUGCCGAACUGCAAUCUUUAUCAGAUAGCUUUCGGAUUUUAUUUCUCACUCUACGGGUAUCAGAAAAAUAUGAAACUUUAAAUCUAACCUCAUAAAAAUAUUUCUGACAUCCCCGCUAAUUUUCAUAAUUUUCUGAGACUGUGCAUUUUCUGCUAAUUUAUCAGUCCCGUUUCCAACAGAAAAUUCUAAAUCUUCUGUUUUCGCUCCGAUUUCAGCACAGGUCAUUCCCAAAAUACUUAAGUCGUAUUAAGGGUUUUAGCCCUAUUAU